rnacentral:rRNA from 1 species
UACGGAGGGAGCUAGCGUUGUUCGGAAUUACUGGGCGUAAAGCGCGCGUAGGCGGCUUUGUAAGUUAGGAGGAUGAAGCCCGGAGCUCAACUCCGGAACUGCCUUUAAAACUGCAUCGCUUGAAUCCAGGAGAGGUGAGUGGAAUUCCGAGUGUAGAGGUGAAAUUCGUAGAUAUUGGGAAGAACACCGGUGGCGAAGGCGGCGACCUGGUCCGUGACUGACGCUGAGGUGCGAAAGCGUGGGGAGCAAACAGG